CUUUUCUGAGCUGCUUCGAGGGUCUGUUUUGAAGUUUCAAGGAAAAAACCAACUUUUUGUGCAAGUUUUUAAGCCAAAUCACUAACAUUCCAUCCAGAGAUUCGACGGAUCUAUCUUUAAGCCAAAAACCAAAAAAAAAAAAAAA